rnacentral:rRNA from 1 species
UACAGAGGGGGCAAGCGUUGUCCGGAAUUAUUGGGCGUAAAGAGCUCGUAGGCGGUUUGUCGCGUCGAAUGUGAAAACCCGGGGCUCAACUCCGGGCCUGCAUUCGAUACGGGCAGACUAGAGUUCGGUAGGGGAGACUGGAAUUCCUGGUGUAGCGGUGAAAUGCGCAGAUAUCAGGAGGAACACCGGUGGCGAAGGCGGGUCUCUGGGCCGAUACUGACGCUGAGGAGCGAAAGCGUGGGGAGCGAACAGG